rnacentral:rRNA from 1 species
GACGAACGCUGGCGGCGUGCUUAACACAUGCAAGUCGAACGGAAAGGCCCUGCUUUUGUGGGGUGCUCGAGUGGCGAACGGGUGAGUAACACGUGAGUAACCUGCCCUUGACUUUGGGAUAACUUCAGGAAACUGGGGCUAAUACCGGAUAGGAGCUCCUGCUGCAUGGUGGGGGUUGGAAAGUUUCGGCGGUUGGGGAUGGACUCGCGGCUUAUCAGCUUGUUGGUGGGGUAGUGGCUUACCAAGGCUUUGACGGGUAGCCGGCCUGAGAGGGUGACCGGCCACAUUGGGACUGAGAUACGGCCCAGAAUCCUACGGGGGGCAGCAGUGGGGAAUAUUGCACAAUGGGCGGGAGCGUGAUGCAGCAACGCCGCGUGCGGGAUGACGGCCUUCGGGUUGUAAACCGCUUUCGCCUGUGACGAAGCGUGAGUGACGGUAAUGGGUAAAGAAGCACCGGCUAACUACGUG